GAUCCUGGCUCAGAACGAACGCUGGCGGCGUGCUUAACACAUGCAAGUCGCGUGCGCAGUUCCGUAGCAAUACGGGAUGGGCGCACGGCGCACGGGUGCGUAACACGUGGGCAAUCUGCCCUCCGAUGGGGAAUAACCCCGCGAAAGCGGGGCUAAUACCGCAUAACAUUCCUUGGACUGCGGUUCGAGGAUUCAAAGCAGCAAUGCGUCGGAGGAGGAGCCCGCGCCCGAUUAGCUAGUUGGUGAGGUAACGGCUCACCAAGGCAAUGAUCGGUAGCUGGUCUGAGAGGAUGAUCAGCCACACUGGAACUGAGACACGGUCCAGACUCCUACGGGAGGCAGCAGUGGGGAAUCUUGCACAAUGGGCGAAAGCCUGAUGCAGCGACGCCGCGUGGGGGAUGAAGCUUUUCGGAGUGUAAACCCCUUUCGACUGGGACGAAUGCCCGCAAGGGAGUGACGGUACCAGUAGAAGAAGCCCCGGCUAACUACGUGCCAGCAGCCGCGGUAAGACGUAGGGGGCCAGCGUUGUUCGGAAUUACUGGGUGUAAAGGGUUCGUAGGCGGUGCGGCAAGUCGGGAGUGAAAUCUUUGGGCUUAACCCAGAGGCUGCUUCCGAAACUGCUGUGCUCGAGUGUGGGAGAGGCGCGUGGAAUUGCAGGUGUAGCGGCGAAAUGCGUAGAUAUCUGCAGGAACACCCGUGGCGAAAGCGGCGCGCUGGACCACUACUGACGCUGAGGAACGAAAGCUAGGGGAGCAAACAGGAUUAGAUACCCUGGUAGUCCUAGCCCUAAACGA
rnacentral:rRNA from 1 species